UACGGAGGGGGCGAGCGUUGUCCGAAGUUACCGGGCGUAAAGCGCGCGUAGGCGGGUUGGUAAGUCCGCUGUGAAAGCCCGGAGCUCAACUCCGGAGGGUCGGUGGAUACUGCCAGUCUUGAAGGUGCUAGGGGGAGAUGGAAUUACCGGUGUAGCGGUGAAAUGCGUAGAUAUCGGGAGGAACACCAGUGGCGAAGGCGGCGACCUGGGCCAAUAUUGACGCUGAGGUGCGAAAGCGUGGGGAGCAAACAGG
rnacentral:rRNA from 1 species